AAAGAGUAUAUUUAACACCCCUACUGGUUAGGAAGGAACAAGCCCCGCCUUCCCCUGCUCUGUACCGUCACGUGCUCAGACACAGAGAGAGACGGAGGUGCACGAGACCAUCACUGAUUUUCACCGCCAAGCUUUUUGCUGGAAAAUAACUAUUAACUUGAUAAAUUGAGCAAAUAUCCAUACCGGAGAUCUGCAUGGACCUUGGAGAAACGGACCUGAUUUAUUGUGAACAUUUCGGACCUUGAAACCAUCGCGAUCUGCGCGGGAGCGGAUGAAGUGGACAAGAUCCUCUCUGAGAGUUGAACAAGAUCCUCUCUGAGAGUUGAACAUUAGAAGUGUGCUGGCUAGGUUUUUUUUAUGGGAUCGUGAGACCUGGAUCUCUUCCUGACGAGGAAGAUGGCGAGCCUUUCCCUUUGAAC